rnacentral:rRNA from 1 species
GAUGAACGCUGGCGGCGUGCCUAAUACAUGCAAGUCGAGCGAACGGACGAGAAGCUUGCUUCUCUGAUGUUAGCGGCGGACGGGUGAGUAACACGUGGAUAACCUACCUAUAAGACUGGGAUAACUUCGGGAAACCGGAGCUAAUACCGGAUGAUAUUUUGAACCGCAUGGUUCAAAAGUGAAAGACGGUCUUGCUGUCACUUAUAGAUGGAUCCGCGCUGCAUUAGCUAGUUGGUAAGGUAACGGCUUACCAAGGCAACGAUGCAUAGCCGACCUGAGAGGGUGAUCGGCCACACUGGAACUGAGACACGGUCCAGACUCCUACGGGAGGCAGCAGUAGGGAAUCUUCCGCAAUGGGCGAAAGCCUGACGGAGCAACGCCGAGUGAGUGAUGAAGGUCUUCGGAUCGUAAAACUCUGUUAUUAGGGAAGAACAUAUGUGCAAGUAACUGUGCACAUCUUGACGGUACCUAAUCAGAAAGCCACGGCUAACUACGUG